ensembl:lncRNA
UUUUCCCGAUGCCACAGGGGUGGCGUUUGCACUGAUGGCUUGAGCCCGCCAUCGCUGCUUGCAGCUAUAUUUAUUUUUAUUUUUUUUUUAACCUUCCGGGGGUUUUUGGAGGCCUUAACAUACUCAAAAACUUGUGAAAAUUGGCACACACAUUGGAACCUGCGGCCAUCAGGACGCCGCAGAGGCUGGGACCCGGGCGUGGCACAGGGGCUCUACGGCGCCCCCUGGAACACAGUCAGAAAUCUUGAACCAUAGCUCACACAUACUUGCAUGUAUUUAUAUGAAACUCUGUACACUUAUAGAUCUCAUUGAGCCGAACAACUUUCGCGCUCUAUAGGCUCUACGGCGCCCCCUGGAACACAGUCAGAAAUCUUGAACCAUAGCUCACACAUACUUGCAUGUAUU